rnacentral:rRNA from 1 species
GAUGAACGCUGACAGAAUGCUUAACACAUGCAAGUCAACUUGAACUUCGGUUUGGGUGGCGGACGGGUGAGUAACGCGUAAAGAACUUGCCUCACAGCUAGGGACAACAUUUGGAAACGAAUGCUAAUACCUGAUAUUAUGAUUUUAGGGCAUCCUAGGAUUAUGAAAGCUAUAUGCGCUGUGAGAGAGCUUUGCGUCCCAUUAGCUAGUUGGUGAGAUAACUGCCCACCAAGGCGACGAUCAGUAGCCGACCUGAGAGGGUGAUCGGCCACAUUGGAACUGAGACACGGUCCAAACUCCUACGGGAGGCAGCAGUGGGGAAUAUUGCACAAUGGGCGAAAGCCUGAUGCAGCAACGCCGCGUGAACGAUGAAGGUCUUCGGAUCGUAAAGUUCUGUUGCAGGGGAAGAUAAUGACGGUACCCUGUGAGGAAGCCCCGGCUAACUACGUGCCAGCAGCCGCGGUAAUACGUAGGGGGCUAGCGUUAUCCGGAUUUACUGGGCGUAAAGGGUGCGUAGGUGGUCCUUCAAGUCGGUGGUUAAAGGCUACGGCUCAACCGUAGUAAGCCGCCGAAACUGGAGAACUUGAGUGCAGGAGAGGAAAGUGGAAUUCCCAGUGUAGCGGUGAAAUGCGUAGAUAUUGGGAGGAACACCAGUAGCGAAGGCGGCUUUCUGGACUGCAACUGACACUGAGGCACGAAAGCGUGGGUAGCAAACAGG